rnacentral:rRNA from 1 species
GAUGAACGCUGGCGGCGUGCCUAAUACAUGCAAGUCGAGCGAACGGACGAGAAGCUUGCUUCUCUGAUGUUAGCGGCGGACGGGUGAGUAACACGUGGAUAACCUACCUAUAAGACUGGGAUAACUUCGGGAAACCGGAGCUAAUACCGGAUGAUAUUUUGAACCGCAGGGUUCAAAAGUGAAAGACGGUCUUGCUGUCACUUAUAGAUGGAUCCGCGCUGCAUUAGCUAGUUGGUAAGGUAACGGCUUACCAAGGCAACGAUGCAUAGCCGACCUGAGAGGGUGAUCGGCCACACUGGAACUGAGACACGGUCCAGACUCCUACGGGAGGCAGCAGUAGGGAAUCUUCCGCAAAGGGCGAAAGCCUGACGGAGCAACGCCGCGCGAGUGAUGAAGGUCUUCGGAUCGUAAAACUCUGUUAUUAGGGAAGAACAUAUGUGUAAGUAACUGUGCACAUCUUGACGGUACCUAAUCAGAAAGCCACGGCUAACUACGUG